ACAAACAAGAGGCAACAGGAGCACACACACAAACCAACAAGCUGAGACACAGAAAGAAAAUGUGCGACUCGAAAUUACUCGACAGAGGCAGGUAUCCUGUCACCAAGUCACCCUUUAUUUACACAUGUUUGUGGGAAAACCCGUAUGUGACUACACAAGACACAGGUGACUUGGAACAUGGUGUCAAAGUGGAGUAACUGAAAAUAUGUCGACUUCCAUAGCUGAAAGAGAACCAGUUAUUGAAAGAAGCAGCAAGAAAACAAGUUUAAAUAAAGACAAUCUGCAAUUCUGAAUUACUGACUGAGUCAAAAUGACUAUGCAGUUUGUACUCCCUUCUGUUGUAGAAAUGAAAGGAGAU